rnacentral:lncRNA from 1 species
GCUCAUUUCUUCUAUUCUUCUCUCUAUACGUUGGUGUUCUAACCAAUAAUCACCGAUGCGAUGUUCUGUCCGAUCGAUUCAGGAACCAACUAACGGAUGCCAAAGUGUUGUACUUUGUGAAUUUUGUUAAACGAAUGCCAAAGUGCUGUCUAAACAAGACUAUACUUGUGAAUUUCGUAAAGGUUCGAAUCUCGUGACCAUCGUUAGGUUUGAUUAGGUUUAACACAAAUACGUAUUCCAUUCUGUUAAACUAAAUGUUUAACUACUCGAAACUCUACCCCAUACUUACAAUCAAAAUGGAUGCUUAAUCAUCAGAGGAUUCAGAACUAUAAAGUAUAUGCUUAGAAUCAAGAUGUUUGUUUAAUCAAGACAGUAUGCUAACAAGGUGAAUACAGUAGGUGGGAAUAAGAGUCGGAUACGGCACCGAAAGGCUUACAGACGUGGCUUAAUUUAUCAAUUCAAAUCAAAUUAAGAAAAGUAUUUUAUGUAAUCGGGGUUAUCCCAUAUUAAAGCUACCUUUCAAAACAUGGGUUUAUCUCAUCUAUUUGAUAAAUAAAAUCCGGUGUUU